AGAGUUUGAUCAUGGCUCAGGACGAACGCUGGCGGCGUGCUUAACACAUGCAAGUCGAACGGUGAUGAUGGGGCUUGCCCUGUCGGAUCAGUGGCGAACGGGUGAGUAACACGUGAGUAACCUGCCCCAGACUCUGGGAUAACUCCGGGAAACCGGAGCUAAUACCGGAUAUGACCCUUGGACGCAUGUUCUGGGGGUGGAAAGUUUUUCGGUUUGGGAUGGGCUCGCGGCCUAUCAGCUUGUUGGUGAGGUAGUGGCUCACCAAGGCGACGACGGGUAGCCGGCCUGAGAGGGCGACCGGCCACACUGGGACUGAGACACGGCCCAGACUCCUACGGGAGGCAGCAGUGGGGAAUAUUGCACAAUGGGCGCAAGCCUGAUGCAGCGACGCCGCGUGAGGGAUGACGGCCUUCGGGUUGUAAACCUCUUUCAGCAGGGAAGAAGCCUUCGGGUGACGGUACCUGCAGAAGAAGCACCGGCUAACUACGUGCCAGCAGCCGCGGUAAUACGUAGGGUGCGAGCGUUGUCCGGAAUUAUUGGGCGUAAAGAGCUUGUAGGCGGUUUGUCGCGUCUGCUGUGAAAAUCCGGGGCUCAACCCCGGACUUGCAGUGGGUACGGGCAGACUGGAGUGUGGUAGGGGAGACUGGAAUUCCUGGUGUAGCGGUGGAAUGCGCAGAUAUCAGGAGGAACACCGAUGGCGAAGGCAGGUCUCUGGGCCACUACUGACGCUGAGAAGCGAAAGCAUGGGGAGCGAACAGGAUUAGAUACCCUGGUAGUCCAUGCCGUAAACGUUGGGCGCUAGGUGUGGGGGCUCAUUCCACGAGUUCCGUGCCGCAGCUAACGCAUUAAGCGCCCCGCCUGGGGAGUACGGCCGCAAGGCUAAAACUCAAAGGAAUUGACGG
rnacentral:rRNA from 1 species